UGGCGCUUAAGGCUGACUGCCUUAUGCGGAGUCUCUGAUAUAGCCGGUUGCAGUAAAACGGUAAUAAGCGGUGAAGUACAGAAUGUGGUAAGGCAGAAAGAAUAAAGCCCCGUAGUUAAUUUUCAUUAAUCCACGAGGCCUACUCUAUGCCAAACAACAUCAGAGUAGCCGCUUAUCUGCCGCGAGGCAAGGAGAUACCGGCCAUG
rnacentral:antisense_RNA from 1 species